rnacentral:rRNA from 1 species
GACGAACGCUGGCGGCGUGCUUAACACAUGCAAGUCGAACGGAAAGGCCCUGCUUUUGUGGGGUGCUCGAGUGGCGAACGGGUGAGUAACACGUGAGUAACCUGCCCUUGUCUUUGGGAUAACUUUAGGAAACUGGGGCUAAUACCGGAUAGGAGCUCCUGCUGCAUGGUGGGGGUUGGAAAGUUUCGGCGGUUGGGGAUGGAAUCGCGGCUUAUCAGCUUGUUGGUGGGGUAGUGGCUUACCAAGGCUUUGACGGGUAGCCGGCCUGGGAGGGUGACCGGCCACAUUGGGACUGAGAUACGGCCCAGACGCCUACGGGAGGCAGCAGUGGGGAAUAUUGCACAAUGGGCGGAAGCCUGAUGCAGCAACGCCGCGUGCGGGAUGACGGCCUUCGGGUUGUAAACCGCUUUCGCCUGUGACGAAGCGUGAUUGACGGUAAUGGGUAAAGAAGCACCGGCUAACUACGUG